CAUGGAGUUUGAUCCUGGCUCAGAUUGAACGCUGGCGGAAUGCUUUACACAUGCAAGUCGAACGGUAGAGGGGGCAACCCCUCGAGAGUGGCGAACGGGUGAGUAAUAUAUCGGAACGUGCCCAGUCGUGGGGGAUAACGUAGCGAAAAUUACGCUAAUACCGCAUACGAUCUAAGGAUGAAAGCGGGGGAUCGCAAGACCUCGCGCGAUUGGAGCGGCCGAUAUCAGAUUAGCUAGUUGGUGAGGUAAAGGCUCACCAAGGCGACGAUCCAUAGCUGGUCUGAGAGGACGACCAGCCACACUGGAACUGAGACACGGUCCAGACUCCUACGGGAGGCAGCAGUGGGGAAUUUUGGACAAUGGACGCAAGUCUGAUCCCAGCCCAUUCCGCG
rnacentral:rRNA from 1 species